CAGAACGAACGCUGGCGGCGCGUCUUAAGCAUGCAAGUCGAGCGGCAAGAGGUAGCAAUACCUCCUAGAGUGGCGGACUGGUGAGUAACACGUGGGUGACAUACCCUUCAGAUGGGGAUAGCUAUUAGAAAUAGUAGAUAAUACCGAAUACGAGCACAGGGGUUAGAGAUCUGUGAGGAAAGGAGCUAAGGCUCCGCUGAAGGAAUGGCCUGCGGCCCAUUAGCUAGUUGGUGAGGUAAGAGCCCACCAAGGCGAUGAUGGGUAUCCGGCCUUAGAGGGUGAACGGACACAUUGGGACUGAGAUACGGCCCAGACUCCUACGGGAGGCAGCAGCUAAGAAUAUUCCGCAAUGGACGAAAGUCUGACGGAGCGACGCCGCGUGGAUGAAGAAGGCCGGAAGGUUGUAAAAAUCCUUUUGAAACUGAAGAAUAAGCGUUGUAGGGAAUGACAGCGUGGUGGCAGUAGGUUUUGAAUAAGCAACGGCUAAUUACGUGCCAGCAGCCGC
rnacentral:rRNA from 1 species